AAAUUUUUUUUUGUGCGCAUGCGUCAAGAUCAGCCAUGUUUAGCGUACUGUUUUUUGUAAACAAGCAUGUUAAAGUGCCCGCGUCUAGAAAAUAAAAGCAAAUAAAUAUUAAUUAAGGUAUAUUAAUAUAAAAACAGGAAAAAAAAUUAAAGUAAUAAGUGUCACUAUUGAGAAAUAAAUUUUUGCAACUGAUUGUAAUCAUGUUAUCUGUACGAAAAGGAACAACAAAACGGUGUUGUUAUGGAGUAUGUAAAAGUGACACACGGUAUAAAUCAUUCAAAGGCAAUACAUAUUAUUUUAUAAAUUUUCCAAAGCCUUGUCUAGAGUAUCGCAAAAAAAUUAUCAAAUCCUCAAGCAAAUUACAUAUUAAAGCAUGUGCAAAAUGUGCAAAAUGUGAAUUGUGGGUAAAAAAAUGUGGCCGAAGUGACAGAGGUUUUAGAUCAAUCGAUGAUGUGACUAAGGAUACUUAUAUUUGUUCACUACAUUUUCAUGGAGAAAGUGGUCCAACUGAGAAGAAUCCUGAUCCUUUAAGCUACCAAGAAUUUCAACAAAUUGAUAAAUCAAUCGAUAAGGUAGUCAAAGUUAGAACCAGCCUAUUUGAAAAAUAUAAAAGAGCUGAUAUGGAAGGAGAGAAUGAAUCAGAAAAAACGAAAAUAAACAACAUUUCGACGGUUGCGCAGAAAUCUACGGCCCAUGAAGAGAUUUUCAAUGUUCCUGAUGAUACUGCUUGUUUUAUUCAACAAAUAUUACCAGAUCAAUCAGCAGAGAUGAGAAUACUGGAGGAAGAAACUAACUGUGAGGGAACUAACAA